rnacentral:rRNA from 1 species
GAUGAACGCUGGCGGCGUGCCUAAUACAUGCAAGUCGAGCGAACAGACGAGGAGCUUGCUCCUCUGACGUUAGCGGCGGACGGGUGAGUAACACGUGGAUAACCUACCUAUAAGACUGGGAUAACUUCGGGAAACCGGAGCUAAUACCGGAUAACAUGUUGAACCGCAUGGUUCAACAGUGAAAGACGGUCUUGCUGUCACUUAUAGAUGGAUCCGCGCCGCAUUAGCUAGUUGGUAAGGUAACGGCUUACCAAGGCAACGAUGCGUAGCCGACCUGAGAGGGGGAUAGGCCACACGGGAACUGAGACACGGUCCAGACUCCUACGGGAGGCAGCAGUAGGGAAUGUGCCGCAAUGGGCGAAAGCCUGACGGAGCAACGCCGCGUGAGUGAUGAAGGUCUUCGGAUCGUAAAACUCUGUUAUUAGGGAAGAACAAAUGUGUAAGUAACUAUGCACGUCGUGACGGUACCUAAUCAGAAAGCCACGGCUAACUACGUG